UUGGACCUACGGGGGGCAGCAGUGAGGAAUAUUGGUCAAUGGGCUUACGCCUGAACCAGCCAAGUCGCGUGAGGGAAGACUGCCCUAUGGAUUGUAAACCUCUUUUGUCGGGGAGCAAAAGACGCCACGCGUGGCGUUCCGAGAGUACCCGAAGAAAAAGCAUCGGCUAACUCCGUGCCAGCAGCCGCGGUAAUACGGAGGAUGCGAGCGUUAUCCGGAUUUAUUGGGUUUAAAGGGUGCGCAGGCGGAAGAUCAAGUCAGCGGUAAAAUUGAGAGGCUCAACCUCUUCGAGCCGUUGAAACUGG
rnacentral:rRNA from 1 species